UACGAAGGGUGCAAGCGUUAAUCGGAAUUACUGGGCGUAAAGCGUGCGUAGGCGGUUUGUUAAGUCUGCUGUGAAAUCCCCGAGCUCAACUUGGGAAUUGCAGUGGAUACUGGCAAGCUAGAGUAUGGUAGAGGAAGGUGGAAUUCCCGGUGUAGCAGUGAAAUGCGUAGAGAUCGGGAGGAACACCAGUGGCGAAGGCGGCCUUCUGGACCAAUACUGACGUUCAUGCACGAAAGCGUGGGGAGCAAACAGG
rnacentral:rRNA from 1 species